GCGGUCGCGAGCUCACUCCAACCCCUGUGACAUACCACUUGUUGCCUCGGCGGAUCAGCCCGCUCCCGGUAAAACGGGACGGCCCGCCAGAGGACCCCUAAACUCUGUUUCUAUAUGUAACUUCUGAGUAAAACCAUAAAUAAAUCAAAACUUUCAACAACGGAUCUCUUGGUUCUGGCAUCGAUGAAGAACGCAGCAAAAUGCGAUAAGUAAUGUGAAUUGCAGAAUUCAGUGAAUCAUCGAAUCUUUGAACGCACAUUGCGCCCGCCAGUAUUCUGGCGGGCAUGCCUGUUCGAGCGUCAUUUCAACCCUCAAGCACAGCUUGGUGUUGGGACUCGCGUUAAUUCGCGUUCCUCAAAUUGAUUGGCGGUCACGUCGAGCUUCCAUAGCGUAGUAGUAAAACCCUCGUUACUGGUAAUCGUCGCGGCCACGCCGUUAAACCCCAACUUCUGAAUGUUGACCUCGGAUCAGGUAGGAAUACCCGCUGAACUUAAGCAUAUCAAAACGGGGGAGGGGAA
rnacentral:rRNA from 1 species